rnacentral:rRNA from 1 species
AGUGAACGCUGGCGGUAGGCCUAACACAUGCAAGUCGAACGGCAGCACAGUAAGAGCUUGCUCUUACGGGUGGCGAGUGGCGGACGGGUGAGGAAUACAUCGGAAUCUACUUUUUCGUGGGGGAUAACGUAGGGAAACUUACGCUAAUACCGCAUACGACCUACGGGUGAAAGCAGGGGAUCUUCGGACCUUGCGCGAUUGAAUGAGCCGAUGUCGGAUUAGCUAGUUGGCGGGGUAAAGGCCCACCAAGGCGACGAUCCGUAGCUGGUCUGAGAGGAUGAUCUGCCACACUGGAACUGAGACACGGUCCAGACUCCUACGGGAGGCAGCAGUGGUGAAUAUUAGACAAUAGGCGCAAGCCUGCUCCAGCCAUACCGCGUGGGUGCAGAAGGACUUCGGGUUGUAAAGCCCUUUUGUUGGGAAAGAAAAGCAGCAGGUUAAUACCCCGCUGUUCUGACGGUACCCAAAGAAUAAGCACCGGCUAACUUCGUG